UACGGAGGGGGCGAGCGUUAUUCGGAAUUAUUGGGCGUAAAGGGCGCGUAGGCGGCCCUGCAAGUCAAAGGUGAAAUCCCUCGGCUCAACUGAGGAACUGCCUUUGAAACUGCAGGGCUUGAGUCCGGGAGGGGGUAGCGGAAUUCCCAGUGUAGCGGUGAAAUGCGUAGAUAUCAGGAGGAACACCGGUGGCGAAGGCGGGUCUCUGGGCCGUAACUGACGCUGAGGAGCGAAAGCGUGGGGAGCGAACAGG
rnacentral:rRNA from 1 species